CCCUUAGAGUUUGAUCCUGGCUCAGGAUGAACGCUGGCGGCGUGCUUAACACAUGCAAGUCGAACGAAGCAUUUAAGACGGACUCUUUCGGGAUGAAGACUUUUAUGACUGAGUGGCGGACGGGUGAGUAACGCGUGGGUAACCUGCCUCACACAGGGGGAUAGCAGUUGGAAACGGCUGAUAAUACCGCAUAAGCGCACAGUACCGCAUGGUACAGUGUGAAAAACUCCGGUGGUGUGAGAUGGACCCGCGUCUGAUUAGCUUGUUGGCAGGGUAACGGCCUACCAAGGCAACGAUCAGUAGCCGACCUGAGAGGGUGACCGGCCACAUUGGGACUGAGACACGGCCCAGACUCCUACGGGAGGCAGCAGUGGGGAAUAUUGCACAAUGGAGGAAACUCUGAUGCAGCGACGCCGCGUGAGUGAAGAAGUAUCUCGGUAUGUAAACUUUAUCAGCAGGGAAGAAAAAACGGUACCUACUAGAGCCCGGA
rnacentral:rRNA from 1 species